CACAGAGCAGGGUCUUCAUCAUCCCAAGCAUGGAACUAAAGAAAAUCAUUAUAGGUGUAUUAGCAGUUGCCAUAGUAACCAUCGUCUUGGGACUUGGACUGGGAUUGGGACUUCAAAAGGCCCCUGCAGUUGAACACACUUCCUGUAAGAGCCGCUGCUAUGAGCCCUUUGACGAAGAGACACCUGGUUGUCGUUGUGACCAACAAUGCCAUACUGCUAACAACUGUUGCUAUGAUUUCCAAGACAUCUGUCUUCA